UACGUAGGGCGCAAGCGUUAUCCGGAAUUAUUGGGCGUAAAGAGCUCGUAGGCGGUUUGUCGCGUCUGCCGUGAAAGUCCGGGGCUCAACUCCGGAUCUGCGGUGGGUACGGGCAGACUAGAGUGAUGUAGGGGAGACUGGAAUUCCUGGUGUAGCGAUGAAAUGCGCAGAUAUCAGGAGGAACACCGAUGGCGAAGGCAGGUCUCUGGGCAUUAACUGACGCUGAGGAGCGAAAGCAUGGGGAGCGAACAGG
rnacentral:rRNA from 1 species